rnacentral:rRNA from 1 species
ACGCUCGACACCUACGGGAGGGCAGCAGUGGGGAAUAUUGCACAAUGGGGGAAACCCUGAUGCAGCGACGCCGCGUGAGCGAAGAAGUAUUUCGGUAUGUAAAGCUCUAUCAGCAGGGAAGAAACUGACGGUACCUGACUAAGAAGCACCGGCUAAAUACGUGCCAGCAGCCGUGGUAAUCUGAGCGGGCUGGCAAGGC